rnacentral:rRNA from 1 species
UACGUAGGGUGCGAGCGUUGUCCGGAAUUAUUGGGCGUAAAGAGCUCGUAGGCGGUCUGUCGCGUCUGCUGUGAAAUCCCGAGGCUCAACCUCGGGCUUGCAGUGGGUACGGGCAGGCUAGAGUGCGGGUAGGGGAGAAUGGAACUCCUGGUGUAGCGGUGGAAUGCGCAGAUAUCAGGAAGAACACCGAUGGCGAAGGCAGUUCUCUGGGCCGUAACUGACGCUGAGGAGCGAAAGCAUGGGGAGCGAACAGG